GCAGUGAUGGUUCAGUGGUAGAAUUCUUGGCUUUUAUGCAGGAGACCCAGGUUCAAUUCCCAGCUAAUGCA
rnacentral:tRNA from 1 species